UUACUGUCUAUAUAACGAUUGUAGGUUGGUCUAGAAGGAAGUGCAAUGGGGCAGUGGUGGGUGGAUACAAUAGGAAAGGCCUUGGAAGACGGAAAAGCUUUUGAGCGUAUGGGUUCUUGGCAGCUUGCUGGCUUGCUUAUAUCUCUUUGGGUAAGAAAGAAUCUUAGAAAACAUGUUGGGGACAUUGAUGCUGAAGCAGUCCCAUGUGGUUUUGGACGUGCAAUUGGCAACAAGGUGUGUUUAAAUUUUUCAGUCAUUAUAUGACAUCAAAUGAGAAAAUCAGAAUGCAAUGUCGUACAAAGGAUAAGUCUGUAAAGAAGAUCAUUUGUGAAGGCCAGUCUUUUGUCAAGAAUGAUGGAGAAGCACCGGAUUAUAUCCCAAGAGCUGCUUUUGGCUUUCCUAGAUGGCUUGAGGUAUUGUAUCUUUUCUUUGGUUAUUUACGUUACUUUUGCGGCUUUUGUGGGUUAGCAAGUGGAAGAAAUAAUACAAUUAUAAAACGAAGAUAAUAAUAAAAUUAAA